rnacentral:rRNA from 1 species
CCUACGGGAGGCAGCAGUGGGGAAUUUUGGACAAUGGGCGCAAGCCUGAUCCAGCCAUGCCGCGUGCGGGAAGAAGGCCUUCGGGUUGUAAACCGCUUUUGUCAGGGAAGAAAUCCUUUGGGUUAAUACCUCGGGAGGGAUGACGGUACCUGAAGAAUAAGCACCGGCUAACUACGUGCCAGCAGCCGCGGUAAUACGUAGGGUGCGAGCGUUAAUCGGAAUUACUGGGCGUAAAGCGUGCGCAGGCGGUUAUGCAAGACAGAUGUGAAAUCCCCGGGCUCAACCUGGGAACUGCAUUUGUGACUGCAUAGCUAGAGUACGGUAGAGGGGGAUGGAAUUCCGCGUGUAGCAGUGAAAUGCGUAGAUAUGCGGAGGAACACCGAUGGCGAAGGCAAUCCCCUGGACCUGUACUGACGCUCAUGCACGAAAGCGUGGGGAGCAAACAGGAUUAGAUACCCUGGUAGUCCACGCCCUAAACGAUGUCAACUGGUUGUUGGACGGCUUGCUGUUCAGUACGAAGCUAACGCGUGAAGUUGACCGCCUGGGGGAGGACGGCCGCGAGUAGUAACGUAAAGUAAGUAGACGCGUGAGAGNGACGACGGACGACGACGAGGGAGGAGG